UACGGAGGGUGCAAGCGUUAAUCGGAAUUACUGGGCGUAAAGCGUGCGUAGGCGGUUCGUUAAGUUUGUUGUGAAAGCCCCGGGCUCAACCUGGGAAUGGCAAUGGAUACUGGCGAGCUAGAGUGUGUCAGAGGAUGGUGGAAUUCCCGGUGUAGCGGUGAAAUGCGUAGAGAUCGGGAGGAACAUCAGUGGCGAAGGCGGCCAUCUGGGACAACACUGACGCUGAAGCACGAAAGCGUGGGGAGCAAACAGG
rnacentral:rRNA from 1 species